UACGGGGGGGGCAAGCGUUGUUCGGAAUUACUGGGCGUAAAGGGCUCGUAGGCGGCCAACUAAGUCAGACGUGAAAUCCCUCGGCUUAACCGGGGAACUGCAUCUGAUACUGGAUGGCUUGAGAUUGGGAGAGGGAUGCGGAAUUCCAGGUGUAGCGGUGAAAUGCGUAGAUAUCCGGAGGAACACCGAUGGCGAAGGCAAUCCCCUGGACCUGUACUGACGCUCAUGCACGAAAGCGUGGGGAGCAAACAGG
rnacentral:rRNA from 1 species